GACGAACGCUGGCGGCGUGCUUAACACAUGCAAGUCGAACGGUAAGGCCCUUCGGGGUACACAAGUGGCGAACGGGUGAGUAACACGUGGGUGAUCUGCCCUGCACUUCGGGAUAAGCCUGGGAAACUGGGUCUAAUACCGGAUAGGACCCUGGGAUGCAUGUCCUGGGGUGGAAAGCUUUUGCGGUGUGGGAUGGGCCCGCGGCCUAUCAGCUUGUUGGUGGGGUGAUGGCCUACCAAGGCGACGACGGGUAGCCGGCCUGAGAGGGUGACCGGCCACACUGGGACGGAGAUACGGCCCAGACUCCUACGGGAGGCAGCAGUGGGGAAUAUUGCACAAUGGGCGCAAGCCUGAUGCAGCGACGCCGCAUGAGGGAUGACGGCCUUCGGGUUGUAAACCUCUUUCAGCACCGACGAAGCGCAAGUGACGGUAGGUGCAGAAGAAGGACCGGCCAACUACGUGCCAGCCGCCGCCGUAA
rnacentral:rRNA from 1 species